rnacentral:antisense_RNA from 1 species
GGGAUGGACCUCCAGAUUUCCUUACUGACCUGCAUUAUCUUGUGGAUACCUGAGUGAAUUCCACACCACCCAUUUUAUAGAUGAAGCCACUGAGACGUGGAGCAACUGACUGAGUAGUCACUGCCCCACCCCUGCCUGGAGCCUCACACAUGACUUCUCUUAGUGACCACAGGAAAACAAGCUCAGGGCUCCCACUGAUUGUACAUUAUGAGACAGAGUCUUCUUGCUAUGUUGCCCAGGCUGGUCUUGAACUCCUAACCUCAAGCGAUCCUCCCAUCUUGGCCUCCCAGGUGUCAGGAUUACAGGCAUGUGCUAUCACACCCAACCUGAUACAUUGCCUUUAUAAAUUUUUUUUUCUUUAUUCUAAAAAACAGAAAAAACAAAACUGGAUACAUGUGCAGAACAUGCAGACCAAGUGUGUUGGGGACUUGAGAUAUGUACAUGAGUGUUUGUGAUGUUUCCUGGUGAAAGCACAGGUGAGACGUGGUCUUGUAACACAGUGGUUAAGAAUGUGACUUUGGAGCCAGCCUGCUAGGGGCUGAAUUCUGACUCAGCCAUUUAUUAACUGUGUGACCUUAGGGAGGAGGACCUGGUUGAUAGAAGAAUUUAUCUCAUAGUCUUAACAUCCACUGUAAUUCCGAACUUUGAGGACGAUAGAGAUCAGUGGGCUUUGACUGCCCAGCAUGCAGUCUCCAU